rfam:Oryza glumipatula chromosome 5, whole genome shotgun sequence.
AAUAAAUACAGUUUUUACACUAUUCACGUUCAACGUUUGACCGUUUGUCUUAUUUGAUUUAUGAUUAGUAUUUUUAUUGCUAUUAGAUGAUAAAACAUGAAUAGUACUUUAUGUGUGACUAAAUAUUUUUAAUUUUUUCACAAAAUUUUCAAAUAAGAUGGACGGUCAAACGUUGGGCACGGAUAUCCACGGUUGCACUUAUU